CCUUGAGAUUCUGUUAAUCUAUAACCUUACCCCCAACCCCGUGCUCUCUGAAACAUUUGCUGUGUCAACUCAGAGUUGAAUGGAUUAAGGGCGGUGCAAGAUGUGCUUUGUUAAACAGAUGCUUGAAGGCAGCAUGCUCCUUAAGAGUCAUCACCACUCCCUAAUCUCAAGUACCCAGGGACACAAAAACUGCGGAAGGCCGCAGGGACCUCUGCCUAGGAAAGCCAGGUAUUGUCCAAGGUUUCUCCCCAUGUGAUAGUCUGAAAUAUGGCCUCGUGGGAAGAGAAAGACCUGGCCGUCCCCCAGCCCGACACCCGUAAAGGGUCUGUGCUGAGGAGGAUUAGUAUAAGAGGAAGGAAUGCCUCUUGCAGUUGAGACAAGAGGAAGGCAUCUGUCUCCUGCCCGUCCCUGGGCAAUGGAAUGUCUCGGUAUAAAACCCAAUUGUAUGUUCCAUCUACUGAGAUAGGGAAAAACCGCCUUAGGGCUGGAGGUGGGACCUGCGGGCAGCAAUACUGCUUUGUAAAGCAUUGAGAUGUUUAUGUGUAUGCAUAUCUAAAAGCACAGCACUUAAUCCUUUACAUUGUCUAUGAUGCAAAGACCUUUGUUCACGUGUUUGUCUGCUGACCAUCUCC
rnacentral:lncRNA from 1 species